UACGUAGGCAGCGAGCGUUGUUCGGAAUUACUGGGCGUAAAGCGUGCGCAGGCGGUUCUCCAAGUCCGUUGUGAAAGCCCCGGGCUCAACCUGGGAAUGGCAGUGGAAACUAGGGGACUGGAAUCUGGCAGAGGGGGGUGGAAUGCCGCGUGUAGCAGUGAAAUGCGUAGAGAUGCGGCGGAACACCGAUGGCGAAGGCAGCCCCCUGGGCUGAGAUUGACGCUCAGGCACGAAAGCGUGGGGAGCAAACAGG
rnacentral:rRNA from 1 species